CGUAGGUGCAAGCGUUAAUCGGAUUACUGGCGUAAGCGUGCGCAGGCGGUUAUGUAAGACAGAUGUGAAAUCCCCGGGCUCAACCUGGGAACUGCAUUUGUGACUGCAUAGCUAGAGUACGGUAGAGGGGGAUGGAAUUCCGCGUGUAGCAGUGAAAUGCGUAGAUAUGCGGAGGAACACCGAUGGCGAAGGCAAUCCCCUGGACCUGUACUGACGCUCAUGCACGAAAGCGUGGAUAGCAAACAGGAUUAGAUACCCUGGUAGUCCACGCCCUAAACGAUGUCAACUAGGUGUUGGGUGGGUAAAACCAUUUAGUACCGGAGCUAACGCGUGAAGUUGACCGCCUGGGGAGUACGGCCGCAAGGUUA
rnacentral:rRNA from 1 species